GUUUGAGAGCUUGUCUGAAUGUGUUCCCAUCAGUAAGACUCCUCUGAACUUUAGACUGAACAAAAAUGACACCCUGGAUAAACCUCAUCUUGUUAUUAGUAGUCCUCAGAGGUGUCCAGUCAGAGGUCCAGUUGGUGGAGUCUGGAGGGGAUGUAAAAAGACCUGGAGACUCCCUCCGUCUCUCCUGCCAAGACUCUGGAUUCACCUUCAGCUAUGGCAUGUACUGGGUGAGACAGUAUCCGGGGAAAGGACUGGAAUGGGUCGCAUACAUACAUCCAACUUCACCGAGCAUUUACUACUCAGACAAAGUCAAGGGACGCUUCACCAUCUCCAGGGACAAUGCCCAAAGCCAGCUGUAUCUGCAAAUGAACAGCCUCAAGCUGGAGGACACGGGACGCUAUUACUGUGCAAGAGACACAGUGAGAGGAAGUGAAUUCAAAGCCAAGCGAGAACUGCCCGUUCCUCAAAGGAGCUCU